rnacentral:lncRNA from 1 species
GCUGAAGGGACCUUCCUGGUUGGUAACAUCCAUGUCUAGGAGGGUGACAUGUCCUACCCCCUGGGACAGGACAUGGUAGCUGCAUGAUUGGGACCCUCCCAGACUGUCCCCAUGUGUCUCUUCUCUUGGCUGGUCCUGAUUUGUAUCCUGUUAUGGCUGUAAUAAAACAAAACAACGAGAUACCAGAAGAAUCCUCAGCGACAGGCCUGGCUGAGCGUCCCCUAGUCUACUAACAACGACCUCCUCCUCCUCAGCCUGCCACACUCCUCCACGACCGGCCACUCUUCCUCAAACCUAGCAUGAAAGACUCAGGUCUGUUUCUUUGGAUCUUCAUUUCCUUAUAAAGGCUCCUGGAUCAUGUAAAACUUCUAUUAAAUAAAUUUGUUUUUGUCCUGUUAAUCUGUCAGUUCAAUUAUUUAGACCCAGCCAGGGACCCUAAGAGGGUCGAGAAGAAUUUUCCGUCCUCUACAUUGGUCACAAAGGCGAGUGGCCUGGGAACCCCUGAGCUUGUGGCUGGUGUCUGCAGAGGAGUCUCUGGAGGACUGGGCACUUGUGAGGUUUGGCUCAACCCCGGGCAGUUAGUGUCAGAAUGUCAGUGCACCGAGGCAGCACUGCUCACCCCAUGGGGGAAAGUCGCCUGCGUCCCGGGCCUGCUUUGCACAGCACAGAUAGGCUGUUUUUCGUAUGUGCUACUAGGCAUGCGGGCUGAAAACAGCCCAGAACGCCAAGGGCAGCAGACUUAGAAAACGUGGGGUGGGUUUUGCUGUAUCCCUCUGUCCUAGUUCCAAGAGCCCUCCUCCGCUCUGAGCCAGGAACCUGGCAAUGGUCUCAACACCUGCUUCUGAGUGUGGUCUCUGGUGGGAACUGUCAUCCUAUUUCUAACCCACUCUGGCCCUCUCCCUUCCAGAUCUAUCCCGUCAUGGUUGAAGUACAGAGAGAGGGAAGCUGGUGCUCAGGAAGAGGGAGUAGGAUUGAAGAGGGAAGUGCCUUUUCAGAGAAGGGUUGGGGGUGGAGUUCAGACUCAAUGACUAACUGGACUGGGGAUGG